CUUAGCGGAGACACCGUACGAGAAUUUAAAGCGAAAGUGUAUUUCUUUUUGGUCGAUAUGUUCCGUUGUUUACUCACCUGUUACGUAACGUCAGUGAUGUUGUUACCCAAAGAAGUAAAAGUAGUUCCUCAGACUUAUAGCUGAUUAUUCUCAUAUAUUCAUGAUGUGAAUGAUGUUUAUGUUAAAUUCAUAGUUGUUUUCAUUAUACUUUUCAUUUAUACUGAAUCUAGUGAUAUGUCAUAAAUAUUUGUGAUGUUGUGGAAGGAUAUUUACAUCAGAUAGCGUUCAAGUGUAGGUGGCGCGAAAGAAUAAGCGUUUAUGUUGUUACGACGGUAGGAUAAAUCAGAAAGCGAUUUGUGACGACAGUGUACGUUAGGGGUAUUAUGUUCGUUCUUCCAAGUCAAGUUCGACAAGGAGGCAUGGAAUUUCAUUUGACGUACUACCAUGUAUGAGUGAUGCCGAGUGAGGUCUCCAGAGGGUGAUUGGUGGAUAAACCCUUGUUUUCUCUUGGCCUAUAGUAGGGGGUUUGUUUUCCCUGUUUUUGCAUGAUCCACCGGCUGUCAAUAAAUGGCUGACCCACCCCUACUUCUUGUCUAUGGUUCUAUGGUUUUCCUGACUGAGUACCCAACCCCCAAUCCAUACUACCACCCAAGCCCAG
rnacentral:lncRNA from 1 species